ACGGGUGAGUAAUACCUAGGAAUCUGCCUGAUAGUGGGGGAUAACGUUCGGAAACGGACGCUAAUACCGCAUACGUCCUACGGGAGAAAGCAGGGGACCUUCGGGCCUUGCGCUAUCAGAUGAGCCUAGGUCGGAUUAGCUAGUUGGUGAGGUAAUGGCUCACCAAGGCUACGAUCCGUAACUGGUCUGAGAGGAUGAUCAGUCACACUGGAACUGAGACACGGUCCAGACUCCUACGGGAGGCAGCAGUGGGGAAUAUUGGACAAUGGGCGAAAGCCUGAUCCAGCCAUGCCGCGUGUGUGAAGAAGGUCUUCGUAUUGUAAAGCACUUUAAGUUGGGAGGAAGGGUAUUAACCUAAUACGUUAGUACUCUGACGUUACCGACAGAAUAAGCACCGGCUAACUCUGUGCCAGCAGCCGCGGUAAUACAGAGGGUGCAAGCGUUAAUCGGAAUUACUGGGCGUAAAGCGCGCGUAGGUGGUUUGUUAAGUUGGAUGUGAAAUCCCCGGGCUCAACCUGGGAACUGCAUCCAAAACUGGCAAGCUAGAGUAUGGUAGAGGGUAGUGGAAUUUCCUGUGUAGCGGUG
rnacentral:rRNA from 1 species